CACUUGGGAAUCUGCCCAGUAGUGGGGAGAACAUCGAACGGAGUGCUAUACGCAUACGCACUACGGUGGAAAGUAGGGGAGUCUUCGGACCUCACGCUAUUGGAUGAGCCCAAGUCGGAUUAGCUUGUUGGUGAGGUAAUGGCUCACCAAGGCGACGAUCCGUAGCUGGUCUGAGAGGACGAUCAGCCACACUGGGACUGAGACACGGCCCAGACUCCUACGGGAGGCAGCAGUGGGGAAGUAUUGGACAAUGGGCGCAAGCCUGAUCCAGCAAUGCCGCGUGUGUGAAGAAGGCCUGCG
rnacentral:rRNA from 1 species